rnacentral:rRNA from 1 species
GCGCACCAGGCGAGAAACCUCCGCAAUGCUCGAAAGAGCGACGGGGGGACUCCAAGUGCCUACGCUCAGCGUAGGCUGUUCCCGAGCCUAAAAAGCUCGGGGAGUAAGGGCUGGGUAAGACGGGUGCCAGCCGCCGCGGUAAUACCCGCAGCCCGAGUGGUGGCCGCUAUUAUUGGGCCUAAAGCGUCCGUAGCCGGCUCGGUAAAUGCCUGGGUAAAUCGUCUGGCCCAACCAGACGAAUUCCGGGUAGACUGCCGGGCUAGGGACCGGAGGAGGGAGAGGGUACUCCAGGGGUAGGGGUGAAAUCAGCAAGGUGAGUUGCUGAUGUAACUUGCCUUGCAAGUCACAAUCCUGUAAUCCCUGGAGGACCACCGGUGGCGAAGGCGCUCUCCUAGGACGGUCCGACGGUGAGGGACGAAAGCCAGGGGAGCAAACCGGAUUAGAUACCCCUGUAGU